GAUGAAGAACGUAGCGAAAUGCGAUAAGUAAUGUGAAUUGCAGAAUUCAGUGAAUCAUCGAAUCUUUGAACGCACAUUGCGCCCAUUAGUAUUCUAGUGGGCAUGCCUGUUCGAGCGUCAUUUCAACCCCUAAGCACAGCUUAUUGUUGGGAACCUACGGCUUCGUAGUUCCUCAAAGACAUUGGCGGAGUGGCAGUGGUCCUCUGAGCGUAGUAAUCUUUUAUCUCGCUUCUGUUAGGUGCUGCCCCCCCGGCCGUAAAACCCCCAAUUUUUUCUGGUUGACCUCGGAUCAGGUAGGAAUACCCGCUGAACUUAAGCAUAUCAAUAAGCGGAGGA
rnacentral:misc_RNA from 1 species